AUGUACUGGGUGCGCCAGAGCCCCGGGAAGGGGCUGGAAUGGCUCGCUGGGAUCUGGAAGGAUGGUUACACCAGAUACGCGCCGUCGCCCCCGAACCUCGACCCUCGACCCCCCAAUCUCCGCGGCCCCUCCGGCUUCACCUUCGGCGACUACGACAUGGGCUGGGCCCGCCAGAGCCCCGGGAAGGGGCCGGAAUUCGUCGCCAGCAUCAGGAAGGACGGCGGGUUCACCACCUACGCGCCGUGGGUGAAGGGCCGGUUCAGCAUCGCCAGGGACAACGGGCAGAGCUCGGUGACGCUGCAGAUGAACAACCUCAGGGACGAGGAUUCCGCCACCUAUUUCUGCGCCAAGAGCGUCUAUUCCGGCUACAACCGGGGCGGUGCCG